UGAAGUUCCUUCGGGGAUGGAUUAGUGGCGAACGGGUGAGGAACACGUGAAGAAUCUGCCCUCCACUUUGGGAUAACUCCGGGAAACCGGGGCUAAUACCGAAUAUUGAAACAUAAGUGGCAUCACUGAGUUUUGAAAGAAUUUCGGUGGAGGAUGACUUCGCGGCCUAUCAGCUUGUUGGUGAGGUAAUGGCUCACCAAGGCGACGACGGGUAGCCGGCCUGAGAGGGCGACCGGCCACACUGGGACUGAGACACGGCCCAGACUCCUACGGGAGGCAGCAGUGGGGAAUAUUGGGCAAUGGACGAAAGUCUGACCCAGCGACGCCGCGUGCGGGAUGAAGGCCUUCGGGUUGUAAACCGCUUUCAGCAGGGAAGAAGCGAAAGUGACGGUACCUGCAAAAGAAGCACCGGCUAACUAUGUGCCAGCAGCCGCGGUAAUACAUAGGGUGCAAGCGUUGUCCGGAAUUAUUGGGCGUAAAGAGCUCGUAGGUCGUUAAUUACGUCGGGUGUGAAAAUCUGGGGCUCAACCCCAGACCCGCACUCGAUACGGGUUAGCUAGAGUUUGGUAGGGGAGACUGGAAUUCCUGGUGUAGCGGUGGAAUGCGCAGAUAUCAGGAGGAACACCAAUGGCGAAGGCAGGUCUCUGGGCCAAUACUGACACUGAGGAGCGAAAG
rnacentral:rRNA from 1 species